rnacentral:tRNA from 1 species
UGUCAAGGGAUGGGAAUCGAACCCACGACCUUCCGCUUACCGGGCAGAUGCCUGACCACUAGGCUACCCUGGAC